rnacentral:rRNA from 1 species
UACGAAGGGGGGCUAGCGUUGCUCGGAAUCACUGGGCGUAAAGCGCACGUAGGCGGCUUUUUAAGUCAGAGGUGAAAUCCUGGAGCUCAACUCCAGAACUGCCUUUGAUACUGGAGAGCUUGAGUCCGGGAGAGGUGAGUGGAACUGCGAGUGUAGAGGUGAAAUUCGUAGAUAUUCGGAAGAACACCAGUGGCGAAGGCGACAUACUGGCUCAUUACUGACGCUGAGGCUCGAAAGCGUGGGGAGCAAACAGG